CUCCCAACCAAGGGCUUUGAUGCUAAUGGGAAGACCACAGGUUGAAACGCUAGAGAGCACACUUCUCCUCUGAUGGUGCCAUUGCUUAAUUAUUUUGCAACCCCUGCCUCAGCCUCUGGCAGGACCCUCUCUGCCAUAGCAGGGAGCCACAGCAUCUCUGGCACCCACGCUUCCCUGACCACACCCUGGGAGACUCUGACUCUUCCCACCACUUUCCGUUACAGAGGAAGCAGCGCAGUUUGGAAUAUGAGACUGGCCCCUACAGUGGCUCUUCAGAGGGACCAGGUGACACAACCUGAAAGUGAGAGGCAGUUUAUGCCCGUAGGGUGAAAUUUGACCAAAUAGAGAAAAAAAAAAAAGACCCUGAGGGGACUGCCAAUAAAUUCUACGCCCUCCCUUCCUCCUGUGGGUGAUUCCUAGGCUGAGUGGUUUGGUUUGUCCUGCCAGGGAUGUCUCAUACCACCAAGCAACAGGCUGUUUUGUCAUGAAGCUGUGACCAACUCAUUAAUGAAUAUUCACUUUCCUUCCUCCCAGCCUGGAUUUUCCUUUUCUCUUAUUUUUGCAACCCUGCCGUGGCGCCUCCCAAAAAAGCAUUAGCAGGUAUCUGAUUCAGGCGCCAAAGCUUAUGAAUCUUGGAAUAUAGUCAGCUACAAUCAUGGGUUAUUCUCCAAAUGAAGAGUCCAAACACUGGCAAAAUAAAAAGCACAUUUGGUCCAUCACAUUCCUAACUAUAAUGGAUGCUGAGAAAUGGAUGCACUGUAACAACCCGCAAGUUUCCUGGUACUGCUGCUGUCAUUGCAAAACCAUUGCAAAGUAUCCAUCUCUUGCCUCUGCCAGAAAAAGCCAGCCGUUAACAGAAACUAAACCCAAGGUCACUUACUUUCACAUAAAGAGAAUAUUUUGGCAGCUGCCAAAAUUCAUUUUUCUAAUGUGCACUUACCCAAUAACUUAAGCUUGGCAUCCUGGGCGGAAUCCAACUUGGGUAAUUCCAUUUUCACAACCGAAUUCCCCCAAGGAGUUUGAGCUGAACAUCACAUUAUUCUUCACUUCUCCAGCUAUCCUCUCAGUAAUCAAACGAGUGCUUUUCAUCCCUGAAGCGUCAUGGAAAUAUAGGGGUGGGGGUUCAAAAAAGGGUUUCUUCUUAAGAAUAUAGUGAUGAGAGGUUCCGUUAUACGAACUUAGUAAAGUCCUUUGGAAGUCAAGACUGGUUUCAUUUUUUUAAUUAUUAUUUAUUUAUUUAUUUUUUGAGAUACAGUCUCACUCUGUCACCCAGGCUAGAGUUCAGCGGCGCAAUCUUGGCUCACUGCAACCUCUGCUUCCUGGGUUAAAGUG
rnacentral:lncRNA from 1 species